AUACUUGCCUGGCUGGGGAGAAACCAUGAUCACGAAGGUGAUUUUUCCCAGGGAAUAUGCGUUGGAUUCUGGUUGUGCUGACCUCUGCAAUUUAUCCAAACAUGAUCAACUCAUUAUUUGUGGUAGUGGAAGACUGUUUACUAUACAUUUUUA
rnacentral:snRNA from 1 species